AUGAGCGAGUGAGGCCUGAGCUGCAGGAGGAGAGCCUGCAGGCCUCAUGGGUAGAAUUACACCUUCACAAUAAUGGAAAUGGGAGUAGUGUUUCAGCCUCAGUUUCCACUUAUAAUGGUGACAAGGAAAAAAUACUGCUGAAUUUCCAGCCUGAGUCCAGAUAGAGAUAGCUCCAAAAGUUCUCACUGUGACAGCCCACCCCAUUCAGACACCAUGGGAUACUAAUACUAACAGGGCUUCUGAAACAGACAAAGCAUUGGAGAGAAAAACAGAUCUCCAUCUGAGCGAGAUUAUUUUGAGAGAAGAAAGUUAAAAAGAUUUUAAGAAAAAGCUCAGAUUAGAUAUGAGAUUGAUCAAGUCAGUCAGAAAAUAUUCCCUUAAAAGAAAUUUCUGUCUAAACACCCAAACCGCACAGCUACUCUCAGCAUGAGAAACAUGAGCAAUAUGAAGAAAGGUGGCAGAAUUUCAGAAGAAUUUUAUAAAGUUUCUUUUCGAUCUCUGCUGCUUUCUCAUCUCCUAGCCAUUGAAUAGGGGUUCUAUCUCUUUUUUACCCUCUCUCUUUUUGA
rnacentral:lncRNA from 1 species